rnacentral:SRP_RNA from 1 species
GCCAGGCAUGGUGGUGCAUGCCUGUAAUCCCAGCUACUCAGGAGGCUGAGGCAAGAGAAUCGCUCUAGCCCAGGAAGCGGAGGCUGCAGUGAUCCGAGAUCAUACCACUGCACUCAAGCCUGGGCAACAGAGCGAGACUCUGUCUCAA